UUGACCUCAAAUCAGGUAGGACUACCCGCUGAACUUAAGCAUAUCAAUAAGCGGAGGAAAAGAAACUAACGAGGAUUCCCUUAGUAACUGCGAGUGAAGUGGGAAAAGCUCAAAUUUAAAAUCUGGCAGCGUCUGGUUGUCCGAGUUGUAACCUAGAGAANUGCANCCUGUGCUGGACCAUGUAUAANUCUCCUGGAAUGGAGUGUCACANAGGGUGAGAAUCCCGUGUUCGACAUGGACUGCCAGUGCAUUGUGGUGUGCUCUCAAAAGUCGAGUUGUUUGGGAAUGCA
rnacentral:rRNA from 1 species